GACGAACGCUGGCGGCGUGCCUAAUACAUGCAAGUCGAGCGAAUGGAUUAAGAGCUUGCUCUUAUGGAGUUAGCGGCGGACGGGUGAGUAACACGUGGGUAACCUGCCCAUAAGACUGGGAUAACUCCGGGAAACCGGGGCUAAUACCGGAUAACAUUUUGAACCGCAUGGUUCGAAAUUGAAAGGCGGCUUCGGCUGUCACUUAUGGAUGGGCCCGCGUCGCAUUAGCUAGUUGGUGAGGUAACGGCGCACCAAGGCAACGAUGCGUAGCCGACCUGAGAGGGUGAUCGGCCACACUGGGACUUAGACACGGCCCAGACUCCUACGGGAGGCAGCAGUAGGGAAUCUUCCGCAAUGGACGAAAGUCUGACGGAGCAACGCCGCGUGAGUGAUGAAGGCUUUCGGGUCGUAAAACUCUGUUGUUAGGGAAGAACAAGUGCUAGUUGAAUAAGCUGGCACCUUGACGGUACCUAACCAGAAAGCCACGGCUAACUACGUGCCAGCCGCCGCGGUAA
rnacentral:rRNA from 1 species